rnacentral:rRNA from 1 species
AUUGAACGCUGGCGGCAGGCCUAACACAUGCGAGUCGAGCGGCUGCACGGAGCUUGCCCCUGGAUUCAGCGGCGGACGGGUGAGUAAUGCCUCGGAAUCUGCCUGGUAGUGGGGGAUAACGUCCGGAAACGGGCGCUAAUACCGCAUACGUCCUGAGGGUGAAAGCGGGGGAUCUUCGGACCUCACGCUAUCAGAUGAGCCUAGGUCGGAUUAGCUAGUUGGUGGGGUAAAGGCCUACCAAGGCGACGAUCCGUAACUGGUCUGAGAGGAUGAUCAGUCACACUGGAACUGAGACACGGUCCAGACUCCUACGGGAGGCAGCAGUGGGGAAUAUUGGACAAUGGGCGAAAGCCUGAUCCAGCCAUGCCGCGUGUGUGAAGAAGGUCUUCGGAUUGUAAAGCACUUUAGGUUGGGAGGAAGAGCAGUGAGUUAAUACCUUGCUGUGUUGACGUUACCAGCAGAAUAAGCACCGGCUAACUACGUG